AAACAAUGAUGUGCACAGAUAAGUCAUUUACUGUAUAAUAAACACUGCAAUAUUUCAUAUACUAAUUCCAUUUUGAUUUCAUUGUGACACUAAUCUAGUUUGGCUUUUGAACUUGAAUCACACCUUUUGACAAGAUGGAUAAACCUCACAUUGUUUGCAAACCUUAUGCUCUGUGCACUAUGAUUUUUACAACCAUUAAAAUCAAUAAUUAUAUCUCCGCAUUUACAGUGUCAUUAUGCUUAUAAAGUAUGUUUUGGACAUUUAAAGGCAUAGUUCAAUGAUGAAAGGUGAACUAUCAGUGAGUUUUGGACUGAAUCCUUCCACAGUAAAAGACUUGACUCAUUACAUACCAUGACAUUUGCAUAUUUAAAUAUUGACCUGAGAGCCAUAAAGUUGCACAACACCUGGAAGAGCAGGCGGAGUCUGACUUUAAAAGGCUUCUCCUCAGUUUUCCUCUUGCUCUUUGCUUAGGAAAGGACAGAAUAAUCUUCCAGCCACAGUAAGAGACAAAAGAUCUGAUCCACAAUGCCAGCACCUGGUGUGUGUUUAAACAUUUUGUCAGAGCGUAAUGUCAAAGAUGGACUGGGAACUCCCGACAAACCAGAAAGCUUCCUGGAUCAGGACUUCCACUGGCUCAAGAAGUUCUGCCUAAAGGAAAAACUGAGGUUUAUAGACAACUUGUUCCCUCCAGAGAUGAAAUCAAUUGGUUUUGGUCCUCUGAAGAGUGAAGAGCUCUGGAGAGUAGUGUGGAAACGACCACAUGAACUGGUGCCAAACCCUGUUUACAUUGUUCAAGGAACUUCAAGGUUUGACUUCAUUCAGGGUAGAUUAGGUAAGUCUGCUGUGCUGUACAAAAUACAUAUUAUGUGAUUAAAAGCUACAAGUGUAGAUUUGAUGAGGGUCAUACACAAUUAUGUGCCAUUUAAUAUAAAUAACAGCAAUGUCCACACCACGCUUA